rnacentral:miRNA from 1 species
AAAGAGCAAAUGGGGGGAAUAGC